rnacentral:rRNA from 1 species
GUCUGCGGUCCUAUCCAUUGGAAAGCACGAUUUCCCGUCCGAUCAAUCAUAGUUAAAUCAGUGAGAGCCUCCAGAAGACUACGGUGGGAGACCACGUGGGAACAAGAGGUGCUACAGUCU